GAUGAAGAACGUAACGAAAUGCGAUAAGUAAUGUGAAUUGCAGAAUUCAGUGAAUCAUCGAAUCUUUGAACGCACAUUGCGCCCGCCAGUAUUCUGGCGGGCAUGCCUGUUCGAGCGUCAUUUCAACCAUCAAGCCCCCGGCUUGUGUUGGGGACCUGCGGCUGCCGCAGGCCCUGAAAAGCAGUGGCGGGCUCGCUGUCACACCGAGCGUAGUAGCAUACAUCUCGCUCUGGGCGUGCUGCGGGUUCCGGCCGUUAAACCACCUUCAUAACCCAAGGUUGACCUCGGAUCAGGUAGGAAGACCCGCUGAACUUAAGCAUAUCAAUAAGCGGAGGA
rnacentral:misc_RNA from 1 species